UAUGAAUGGACAGAAGGGUGUGCUCUCGCUUACAGACACGAUAGCAGCAGUGAGAUGAGGAGUGCCAUCUACUCCACUGCACGUCUGUACUGAGAAGGAAUAAGGGAGAAGAAAAGUCGUUCCAGUUGUACAACCACAAUAUUCCAGAGGAUAUCAUCUUAUAAGCCCUGAACUUCUGCUGAGAAAGUCAGCCAUGGAACCGAAGGCGAAUGAGUGUCCCACCAUCACGCCUCCUCAGAAGCACAUGAAGAGCAGGUCCAAAUCUACAGAGGAGAUGCAACAGACAAAGAAGUCCUUCUCCUCACAAAAAUCUCUCCCGGGCAGACCAGAGCUGGAGAAAGUGAAGGAGUGUCCUGACGGCCCCGCCACGCCCUCGUCCUCCACCGAGGAGCUAAAGUGACAAAGGGAAAGACAUUGAAUUUAGCCAUCAAAUUAGUACACAAGGAAACAUACACAAAUAUUAUUCAAGAUAUUUGUGAACUAUUUUAGAAAACACACAAGCAAUGAAUUUAUGAUUGGUGGAAGGAAACUGUAAAAAACGUGGUACAUUGAACACACGCUGAAACGAUCCCUUGUAAACCUGUGAUGAUGCUAUGUUGUGGUACCGAGUGUCGUAUUCCUACCACGGUGAAUGUGUGUGGACAAUAAAGUAAUGCUGUUGACUAAAUCUGUCUCUAUUCGCUUUCACGUCAAACAUCUGAUGCUGCUCUGAGGUGUUCAAACACAGCCGUUACUGUUAAGUAUCCUGUAUACAACACCCGCCUCACCCGCAAAGCGACCUCGAUUGUGAGUGACCCCUGCCACCCCUCACACGGUCUCUUCAGCCUCCUGCCCUCUGGGAGGAGAUACCGGAGCCUCCGGGCUCACACCGCCAGGCUGUCCAACAGCUUCAUCCACCAGGCUGUCAGGAAGCUGAACUCUCUCCCCAUCCUCCCACUCCGUCCUCUCUCAGACUCACAUGUCUGAAUGCUGCUAGCACAAUUUAUGUUGUCUAUAUGUUUACAUGUUUCUUACUAUUUUUGCACUUUAUGUUGUCUAUGCACUUUAUGUUGUCUAUAUGUUCACAAGUUUUUUACUAUUUUUGCACUCUAUGUUGUCUAUGUUGCACAAUUCACUUUAUGUUGGACAGAAGAGAAACGCAAUUUCGAUCUUCUGUAUGUUUGCACAUAUGGAAAAUUGACAAAUAAAACUGACUUUGACUUUGA